rnacentral:rRNA from 1 species
UACGAGGGGGGCGAGCGUUGUUCGGAAUUAUUGGGCGUAAAGGGUGCGUAGGCGGUUUGGUAAGUCUGAUGUGAAAUCUAUGGGCUCAACUCAUAGUCUGCAUCGGAAACUGCCGGGCUUGAGUGUGGGAGAGGUGAGUGGAAUUCCUGGUGUAGCGGUGAAAUGCGCAGAUAUCAGGAAGAACACCCGUGGCGAAGGCGGCUCUCUGGGACGGUACUGACGCUGAGACGCGAAAGCGUGGGGAGCGAACAGG